GGGUUUCAGGAUUAGAUCUUGAAACUUUUUCAAGAUCAUACAGCGAAAGACUAAAAUAAAUUAAAAUUUAUUUUAUAAAAUUAGAGAAUCUCUAGAUCUAAGAUCCUAUUAUAUAAUUAUUACAUGACAUUAAAUCAAAAAUUAAAACAUAUAGAGAAUGAACUACAUGUUGAUCAUAUCAAUAUGUUUCUAUGCUACAUCUAAUGUAUGUGAUAAAUAAUAG
rnacentral:lncRNA from 1 species